AUACAAAUAACUGAUAUUUUUAUGAUAGUAGAUAUAAUUGUUUAUCUGCAUGCCUGGUAAGUUCUAAAACAGAUCAUAACCCUUAAACCAAAUCUGUAAUAGACUGCAUGUAGCUACCCAGAUAUAUAGAAAUUAGUGUGUACUGGGAAGUAGUAUUUGAAAUAAAAAAGACGUGCAAAGAAAGCAAAACGAGAGGUUCAAUCCCAACCCAUACAGGGUUAGCGCAAAUCCAGCAUCUCAUUAACAACUAACCCCUGGUUUACGUUUUGUACUGAACUGCCAUAAUAAUAACUAAAAUAAGUGAUUC